rfam:Leucobacter sp. G161 contig15, whole genome shotgun sequence.
UUACAGCGUCGUGACUGGCGUGCAGAUGGAAACCAUCGGGGAGCGACACCUAUGAACGGCCGCUCGCCUGGGCCACACAU